rnacentral:rRNA from 1 species
GUGUCAGCCGCCGCGGUAAGACGGAGGAUGCAAGCGUUAUCCGGAAUGAUUGGGCGUAAAGCGUUCGCAGGUGGCUAUUCAAGUCUGCUGUCAAAGACCGGGGCUUAACCCUAGAAAGGCAGUGGAAACUGAAUGGCUGGAGUGCAGUAGGGGUAGAGGGAAUUCCCAGUGUAGCGGUGAAAUGCGUAGAGAUUGGGAAGAACACCGGUGGCGAAAGCGCUCUGCUGGACUGCAACUGACACUGAGGGACGAAAGCUAGGGGAGCGAAAGGGAUUAGAAACCCGCGUAGUCC